rnacentral:rRNA from 1 species
GAUAAACGCUGGCGGCGUGCCUAAUACAUGCAAGUCGAGCGAACGGACGAGAAGCUUGCUUCUCUGAUGUUAGCGGCGGACGGGUGAGUAACACGUGGAUAACCUACCUAUAAGACUGGGAUAACUUCGGGAAACCGGAGCUAAUACCGGAUAAUAUUUUGAACCGCAUGGUUCAAAAGUGAAAGACGGUCUUGCUGUCACUUAUAGAUGGAUCCGCGCUGCAUUAGCUAGUUGGUAAGGUAACGGCUUACCAAGGCAACGAUGCAUAGCCGACCUGAGAGGGUGAUCGGCCACACUGGAACUGAGACACGGUCCAGACUCCUACGGGAGGCAGCAGUAGGGAAUCUUCCGCAAUGGGCGAAAGCCUGACGGAGCAACGCCGCGUGAGUGAUGAAGGUCUUCGGAUCGUAAAACUCUGUUAUUAGGGAAGAACAUAUGUGUAAGUAACUGUGCACAUCUUGACGGUACCUAAUCAGAAAGCCACGGCUAACUACGUGCCAGCAGCCGCGGUAAUACGUAGGUGGCAAGCGUUAUCCGGAAUUAUUGGGCGUAAAGCGCGCGUAGGCGGUUUUUUAAGUCUGAUGUGAAAGCCCACGGCUCAACCGUGGAGGGUCAUUGGAAACUGGAAAACUUGAGUGCAGAAGAGGAAAGUGGAAUUCCAUGUGUAGCGGUGAAAUGCGCAGAGAUAUGGAGGAACACCAGUGGCGAAGGCGACUUUCUGGUCUGUAACUGACGCUGAUGUGCGAAAGCGUGGGGAUCAAACAGGAUUAGAUACCCUGGUAGUCCACGCCGUAAACGAUGAGUGCUAAGUGUUAGGGGGUUUCCGCCCCUUAGUGCUGCAGCUAACGCAUUAAGCACUCCGCCUGGGGAGUACGACCGCAAGGUUGAAACUCAAAGGAAUUGACGGGGACCCGCACAAGCGGUGGAGCAUGUGGUUUAAUUCGAAGCAACGCGAAGAACCUUACCAAAUCUUGACAUCCUUUGACAACUCUAGAGAUAGAGCCUUCCCCUUCGGGGGGCAAAGUGACAGGUGGUGCAUGGUUGUCGUCAGCUCGUGUCGUGAGAUGUUGGGUUAAGUCCCGCAACGAGCGCAACCCUUAAGCUUAGUUGCCAUCAUUAAGUUGGGCACUCUAAGUUGACUGCCGGUGACAAACCGGAGGAAGGUGGGGAUGACGUCAAAUCAUCAUGCCCCUUAUGAUUUGGGCUACACACGUGCUACAAUGGACAAUACAAAGGGCAGCGAAACCGCGAGGUCAAGCAAAUCCCAUAAAGUUGUUCUCAGUUCGGAUUGUAGUCUGCAACUCGACUACAUGAAGCUGGAAUCGCUAGUAAUCGUAGAUCAGCAUGCUACGGUGAAUACGUUCCCGGGUCU